GCAGUGGCGGCGACCGCGGCGGCGCUCUAGCCGUGGCAUGUCUGUGUCUUUACUGCUCUGGGAGGAGGAAGAGAAGGAGGAAGAGGAGGAGGAGGGGGAGGAAGAGGAGAAAGGCGCAGGGGUGGGAGCUGUUGCCGAAGCUGCCACUGCAAAAGUUCUUCCCCCUCCCCCCUUCCCCUCCUCUCAAAGCCCCUAGAAAGGUUGGGAGCUACCGCCGCUUGCAGUCGGUGUCCGCGCUGCUUGGCGCCCGCCCGCGGAUAGAGGGAGGAAUCAGCAGCUUGGAAAUUCAGCUAAGUGAUCUGGCGGGAUGGGCAUUUGCCUGACAUACUUUAUAGAGGUAUUCUAACACUAUUUCACUCAGUCUUUAAUAUUUACCUGUAACAGACAGAUGCCCAUGUGCUUGCAUAUGAAUGUACCUAACUUGAAACUCUUGAAUAGUAUUCUGCAUUUACUAGACAGUCCCUUUGGCUUUUAUACCCGCUUAGAUAUGGCAGAAAUAUCCAUGAAUGAAUAGCAUAGUAUCAGUAUGCAUAGAUAUGAGUAUCAGUGCCGUGAAAAGAUUUAAUGCAAUUAGUGUUAUAGGAUGAAGUCCUGUAUAUUCUCUUAACUAGAUUACUUGCGUAUCAUAUCUCCUUUUAGUCUUUAGCUCCCUUAUGUUAAGAAGGCAGAUGAUCCUUUCCUUUCUUGUUAGACUAUGUUGUUGCCUGUAUUAAAAUUGUGCUUUCAUCUUUCAAACAAAGUGAAAGAAAAUUAAACAUUUAACAGAUUAUUUACAUAUCUGUCAGUGGCACAUAUUUUCAGAUAAAUUAUUAAUGAUCAUAAAAAUUCUGAAUUUUCUCAUUGAUUUUUUUUGUUGUUUUGAGAAUUCUUUUAAAACUUGAGAAUUAAACAUUUUAGCAGUUUUGAUGCCUGUGUCUUUGAAGUCUCUGCUCUUUUCAUAUCCUGUGGUAAUUGUCAUAUUUGACAUUUCUGACUUCUCACCCCAAUUUAAUUAUUAGAGUAGUACAGA
rnacentral:lncRNA from 1 species